rnacentral:lncRNA from 1 species
CGCCUUCCUGCCCUCCGCUGCCUGUGGCUCCUCACUUCCCCGGCCGUGCCGUCAGGGGCGCUCCAGAGCAGCCCCGGUGCCCACGUCUCAUCGCAGCCCUCUGGCAGGACAGCGCGCGUCUAAACUAAGCCGAGGCGCACUUCGCUAAGGGGACCUCUCCGUUUGGACAAUCCCGACGCCCGGCUCUACAUGCUCCUGCCGGGCCUGAGUCUCCCCGACGAGCGCUGCCCCAUGUUCCACGGCGCCCGAUCCCAUCCACUGCCCAAGGUCUGAGGAGUGCCAGCGCACGGCGACGGAGUGGCAGGCAGCUCCACCUGCGGCCCCGGUGUGAGAUCCACUGGAUGAAGCCAGCUGGACUCCUGAGUCUGGUGGGGACUUGGAGAAUCUUUAUGUCUAGCUGGGGGAUUGUGAAUGCACCAAUCAGCACUCUGUAUCUAGCUCAAGGUUUGUAAACACACCAAUCAGCACCCUGUGUCUAGCUCAGGGUUUGUGAAUGCACCAAUCGACACUCUGUUUCUAGCUAAUUUAGUGGGGCCGUGGAGAACUUUUGUGUCGAACUCAGGGAUUGUAAACGCACCAAUCAGCACUCUGUCAAAAUGGACCAAUCAGCUCUCUGUAAAACAGACCAAUCGGCUCUCUGUAAAAUGGACCAAUCAGCAGGAUGUGGGUGGGGCCAGAUAAGAGAAUAAAAGCAGGCUGCUCCGCGCUAGCACUAGCAAGUUGCUAGAGUGGCCUGCCACAGUGUAAGUUUUGUUCUUUAGCUCUUUGCAAUAAAUCUUGCUACUGCCCACUCUUUGGGUUUACACUGCAUUUAUGAGCUGUAACACUCAUGGUGAAGAUUUACAGGUUCAGUCCUGAAGCCAGCGAGACAAAGAACCCACUGGGAAGAACAAACAACUCCAGACGCCCCAACUUAAGAGCUGUUAACACCCGAAGAUCUGCAGCUUCACUUUUGAGCCAGCGAGACCACGAACCCACCAGAAGGAAGAAACUCUGAACAGGCUGGAACGUCAGAAGGAACAAACUCAGGACAUGCCACCUUUAAGAACUGUAACACUCACUGUGAGGGUCUGCGGCUUCAUUCUUGAAGGCUGUGAGACCAAGAACCCACCAAUUUCGGACACACUGGGACCACCCUCGCUGACUGGAGCACUUGAGGCAAUCAUUCCCAGAUAGUGGAACCUCGAAUGGCAGACACUGUGGUUCUCCUGCGGGGCUGAGAACUGUGAGGAGCAGAGCAGACUUCAUGGAGCUCCACAAGUCACAUACACAGGCGGCUGCUGGCUAUUUCCGCUUUCUCAUCUGGAAUUGGCAGCGGACUAAGUGGGCCCUACUUAUUAGGUUGGUGCAAAAGUAAUCGCGAUUCUUGCCAUUAAAAGUAAUGGCAAAAGCUGCGAUUACUUUUGCACCAAUCUUACUAUAUAUAUAUUAUUUUUUCAAAUCUCAGUUUUAUUCUCAUUCCAGCAUCCUAAUGCUUUCCCUUUGGAUUUUUUUUUCUAAUCUUGAGAAGUUUGUGUUUUCAGUGUAGUAAUAACAAUAAUAGUGUUCUUAGCACACGCGUUACGCCAAGGGCUUUUAAAAGAUACUUUUCAUAAACCAACUCACUUAAUUCUCACAACAACUUUUGAAGUAGUCCACUUUCUAAUCCUCAUUUUACAGAUAAGGAAACUGAGGCACACAAGGUCAGCUAACCUGCCCGAGGUCUCUAGCUAGUGACUGGAAGAGGUGUUCUCUGGAUAUUAUUUGAAUCUCAGUCUCGCUAUAUUUCUUCGUCAUGACUGUAACUUUCCCCCUGUAUUUCUAAAUAUUUUAAUCUCUUGAUCAUAUAGCAUACGUUGAUUUAAUAAAUCACUUUUACAUGCAUUAUCGUAUUUGGUAUUCAUCACAGCUCUCUGAGGUGGGUAAGGGAGAUUUGGUUACUUCUUUCUGACAAAUGAGAAAAAUGAUGCUCAUAGACACUGUUAAGUUAGAAGCACAGGGCGUUAAUUCUGGAAGUGUUUUAAAGAUUACCCAAUCCAGCCACUCAACUUUUAGGAAAUUGAGCGUCAGAAAAAUAAAUGCCUUUCUCUAGUUCCCACAGCUGGCUGCAGUACCAAUCACCUGCCUCUGAGUUCAUUGCCAGCUGGGUGCUGUGGAACUUACCUUGACUUUGGAGUUAAUUAUCCAACUUCUCUGAGCUAUA